rnacentral:rRNA from 1 species
CCCUUAGAUGUUCUGGGCUGCACACGUGCUACACUGGCAGGUUCAGCGAGCUUCAUGCCUUGAUCUGAAAGGAAUGGGAAAUCUUUUCAAAACCUGCCGUGAUUGGGAUAGAUGAUUGCAAUUUUUCAUCUUCAACGAGGAAUGCCUAGUAAACGCAAGUCAUCAGCUUGCAUUGAUUACGUCCCUGCCCUUUGUACACACCGCCCGUCGCUCCUACCGAUUGAAUGAUCCGAUGAAUAUCAUGGAUUGAGGAUGCAAGUAGGUUCGCCUAUCUUCAUCUUCGAGAAGUGAAGUAAAUCUUAUCAUUUAGAGGAAGGAGAAGUCGUAACA